CCGUACCUACGGGGCGCAGCAGUGGGGGAUAUUGCACAAUGGGGGGAACCCUGAUGCAGCGACGCCGCGUGGGUGAAGAAGCGCCUCGGCGCGUAAAGCCCUGUCAGCAGGGAAGAAAAUGACGGUACCUGAAGAAGAAGCCCCGGCUAACUACGUGCCAGCAGCCGCGGUAAUACGUAGGGGGCAAGCGUUAUCCGGAUUUACUGGGUGUAAAGGGCGCGUAGGCGGGAUGGCAAGUCAGAUGUGAAAUCCGGGUGCUCAACCCCUGAACUGCAUUUGAAACUGUCGUUCUUGAGUACUGGAGG
rnacentral:rRNA from 1 species